rnacentral:rRNA from 1 species
CAGCGCCACGAGUGGGGAUCCUGUUUAUUUGGCCUAAAGCGUCCGUAGCUGGUCGAGUAAAUUUCUUGUGAAAUUGUUUUGCUUAACAAAACAACGUGCAGGAAAGACUGCUUAACUAGGGACCGGGAGGAGUCAGAGGUAUGCUGAGGGGAGCGGUAAAAUGCUAUAAUCCUCGGUAGACCACCUGUGGCGAAGGCGUCUGACUAGAACGGGUCCGACAGUGAGGGACGAAAGCCAGGGGAGCAAACCGGAUUAGAUACCCGAGUAGUCC